rnacentral:tRNA from 2 species
AUUUUUCUAGUAUAAUUAGUACAUUUGACUUCCAAUCAGAAAGUUUGAAUUAUCAAGAAAAAUA